UGCUGCCAAGAAAAAUAACAAAGUCAGGUUUACAAAAAGAGAAACAGAAAAAGACAAGAGUGUCUAUUUGUAACCCAGAUUUUCUCCAAUAGAGGUGAGUCAGACAGCAGCAGCUCUAACCUCGAUGCCAGCAUAACCUUUAACCCGUCCCAGUGAAAAAGGGUUGCAUCCCGUCAGCCUCUUGAGGUGCCGAAUCUUUGCCUGGAGCUAGAGGCGGCGCGGUCCAUUCAUCAAAAGCAUGACCCGCUACAGUCAGGGACAGGAUGCCAUGGUGUAAUGAACGUACCUGUGUCAUAUCUCUGCACAUGCGGAAAGGGAAGCUUUACUUAUUACUGGGUAUUAUGACACAGUAACACAUUGUUAAUGCUCAUUCUAAAAAAGAAGGGAUAUCAGCUAAAAUAUCAGCUGAAAUGCUUUAAUGCCUUUAAUGUUGCGGGAGUGAUUUUAAGGAAAUAAGUUCUGUCAUUCAACCCUUUUUUUUACAUCUCCUAAAACAUGUCUUUCUAAUAAAUAUAUUG